UAUACACCAACAGAUUGUAUUUGUAUUUUUAUACCCUUGCAGAGGUUAUAAUAUUUUAGUCAGAAGUUUGCAACGCAGUGAACGAGACGUUUCCGACCCCAUAAAGUAUAUACUUUCUUGAUUAGCGUCACUAGACGAGUUGAUCUAGCCAUGUCCGUCCGUCUGUCCGUCCGUUUCUAUGCAAACUAGUCUCUCAGUUUUAAAGCAACUGGGCUGAAACUUUCCCAUAAGUGGUCUUUCUAUUGCAGGUAGUGUAAAGGUCGGAACCAGCCAGAUCGGACAACUAUAUCUUAUAGCUCCGAUGGGAACUAUCAGGGAAAAAAUUAAAAAAUAUAUAUAUCUUUGGUGAUUUAAAACUUAUAACCUCCUUCGUUUGGAAAUAACGUUUUUGAAUUGGUUUUGAAUUUCGAAUUAAAUUUUAUCAAAAUCGGACGACUAUAUCAUAGGAACUAUCGCAAAAUUAGUGGAAAAAUAAUAUAAAACAAAUUAUAGCUCUGGGGCUUACUGACCUCUAAACAAAGAUAAUUGUUUAGAGGAGAUGCUGUUUUGCAGCCUACUUCGGCCUGAUCUAAUUAAUUAAAAUAAAAAGACCUAGCUUUCGUUUUGGAGAUCAUGUACUUCGAAGUUUUAGUGCAAGACAAGAGAAGAGUAUAGUAAGUGUUGUACAGAGUUUGUUUUCAAGGUUUUACAUGCGUACUGUUUAACUGGUGCUGUUAGCGCAACACAGAUGCUGCACAGCAGUUAGCAAACUUUAAGUUAUAUUUACAAACUGAUAGUAAACGAUGAAAUUUAGGCGUUCUACUGCGAACAAUCUUAUAAUAAAAUUUUUUAUUUUUAAUAAAAAACGGACAUCUAAAUGUAGAUGUAAAAAAAAAUGGUUUGAAAAAAAGAAUGAAAUAAUUUUUAAUUUAAAAAUUUCACACGGUGUUAUUAAAGUUGAUUGUUUCUUAU